UGGCGGACGGGUGAGUAACGCGUGGGUAACCUGCCUUACACAGGGGGAGUAACACCUGGAAACAGGUGCUAAUACCGCAUAAGCGCACAGGGCCGCAUGGCCCGGUGUGAAAAACUCCGGUGGUGUAAGAUGGACCCGCGUCUGAUUAGCUUGUUGGCGGGGUAGAGGCCCACCAAGGCGACGAUCAGUAGCCGGCCUGAGAGGGUGGACGGCCACAUUGGGACUGAGACACGGCCCAAACUCCUACGGAAGGCAGCAG
rnacentral:rRNA from 1 species